GGGGAUUUAGCUCAGUGGUAGAGUGCUUGCCUAGCAAGCGCAAGGCCCUGGGUUCGGUUCCCAGCUCUG
rfam:Rattus norvegicus chromosome 14, whole genome shotgun sequence.